rnacentral:rRNA from 1 species
GUAGGUGGCAAGCGUUGUCCGGAAUUAUUGGGCGUAAAGCGCGCGCAGGCGGUCCUUCAAGUCUGAUGUGAAAGCCCACGGCUCAACCGUGGAGGGUCAUUGGAAACUGGGGGACUUGAGUACAGAAGAGGAAAGCGGAAUUCCAAGUGUAGCGGUGAAAUGCGUAGAGAUUUGGAGGAACACCAGUGGCGAAGGCGGCUUUCUGGUCUGUAACUGACGCUGAGGCGCGAAAGCGUGGGGAGCAAACAGGGAUUAGAUACCCUGGUAGUCCACGCCGUAAACGAUGAGUGCUAAGUGUUAGGGGGUUUCCCGCCCCUUAGUGCUGCAGCUAACGCAUUAAGCACUCCGCCUGGGGAGUACGGCCGCAAGGCUG